UGGGGAAUAUUGGGCAAUGGGCGAAAGCCUGACCCAGCAACGCCGCGUGAUUGAAGAAGGUCUUCGGAUUGUAAAGAUCUGUCCUAUGGGAAGAAACAAAUGACGGUACCAUAGGAGGAAGCCCCGGCUAACUACGUGCCAGCAGCCGCGGUAAUACGUAGGGGGCGAGCGUUGUCCGGAAUUACUGGGCGUAAAGGGUGCGUAGGCGGUUUUUUAAGUCAGAUGUGAAAUAUCCGGGCUUAACCUGGGGGGUGCAUCUGAUACUGGGGAACUUGAGUGCAGGAGGGGAAAGUGGAAUUCCUAGUGUAGCGGUGAAAUGCGUAGAUAUUAGGAGGAACACCAGUGGCGAAGGCGGCUUUCUGGUCCGAUACUGACGCUAAAGCGCGAAAGUGUGGGGAGCAAACA
rnacentral:rRNA from 1 species